GUGGAAGCCAUUCCUACAACAGAACAACCUGCAAAUGAACGCAAGCUACCAAAGCAGAUCUCAUUCAACACCAACUAAAUGUUUUCCUUGUUGACUCAGUGGAAAUCCCAUGGACAGAGGAGCCUGGAUUUCAGGGCUGAAAAGACAAACAAGAAGUACGCUCGUAAUCACCAGCACAUUCACCUCGGCCAAGCCACAGCCGCUGCUAAUUCCAGGGCAUAUUUUUCUAAAUUCAAUUUAGGACGGGAGUCAGAGCAGGCCCCAGAGUCGGAAUGCACCAGUUCAUAUCCCAGCCUCCUCUGUAAACGCUGCAGUCGUGACAAUGAGAGUAAGGGACGUCAAAGUCGCGGGGAGCACCCGGCGUAUGGAGACUAUCACCAUCGUUGACUUCAUGGCGCCCUAGGCAGGAUCAGCC
ensembl:lncRNA